rnacentral:rRNA from 1 species
GACGAACGCUGGCGGCGUGCUUAACACAUGCAAGUCGAACGAGAAAGCACUUCGGUGUGAGUACAGUGGCGAACGGGUGAGUAACACGUGGGCAACCUGCCCUGGAGAGCGGGACAACCCGAGGAAACUCGGGCUAAUACCGCAUGAUGCGUCCUGGCGUAAGUCAGGCCGCCAAAAGGUAGCUCUUCGGAGCCUCCGCUCUGGGAUGGGCCCGCGCCGGAUUAGCUAGUUGGUUGGGUAAUGGCCCACCAAGGCGACGAUCCGUAGCUGGUCUGAGAGGACGAUCAGCCACACUGGGACUGAGACACGGCCCAGACUCCUACGGGAGGCAGCAGUGGGGAAUCUUGCGCAAUGGGCGAAAGCCUGACGCAGCAACGCCGCGUGA